rnacentral:rRNA from 1 species
AGAGUUUGAUCAUGGCUCAGAUUGAACGCUGGCGGAAUGCUUUACACAUGCAAGUCGAACGGCAGCAUAGAGAGCUUGCUCUCUGAUGGCGAGUGGCGAACGGGUGAGUAAUAUAUCGGAACGUGCCUAGUAAUGGGGAAUAACUAGCUGAAAGGUUAGCUAAUGCCGCAUACGACCUACGGGUGAAAGCAGGGGAUCUUCGGACCUUGCGUUAUUAGAGCGGCCGAUAUCUGAUUAGCUUGUUGGUGGGGUAAUGGCCUACCAAGGCGACGAUCAGUAGCUGGUCUGAGAGGACGAUCAGCCACACUGGAACUGAGACACGGUCCAGACUCCUACGGGAGGCAGCAGUGGGGAAUUUUGGACAAUGGGGGCAACCCUGAUCCAGCCAUUCCGCGUGAGUGAAGAAGGCCUUCGGGUUGUAAAGCUCUUUCGCAAGAGAAGAAAACUUACUAUCUAAUAAAUAGUAAGUAUGACGGUAUCUUGACAAGAAGCACCGGCUAACUACGUGCCAGCAGCCGCGGUAAUACGUAGGGUGCAAGCGUUAAUCGGAAUUACUGGGCGUAAAGCGUGCGCAGGCAGUUUUAUAAGUCAGAUGUGAAAUCCCCGAGCUCAACUUGGGAACUGCGUUUGAAACUGUAAGACUAGAGUGUGUCAGAGGGGGGUAGAAUUCCAAGUGUAGCAGUGAAAUGCGUAGAGAUUUGGAGGAAUACCAAUGGCGAAGGCAGCCCCCUGGGAUAACACUGACGCUCAUGCACGAAAGCGUGGGGAGCAAACAGGAUUAGAUACCCUGGUAGUCCACGCCCUAAACGAUGUCUACUAGUUGUUGGUGGAGUAAAAUCCAUGAGUAACGCAGCUAACGCGUGAAGUAGACCGCCUGGGGAGUACGGUCGCAAGAUUAAAACUCAAAUGAAUUGACGGGGGCCCGCACAAGCGGUGGAGCAUGUGGUUUA